CAUCUUCUGGCCUGCGCACUCCUACACACAUGUGACGUGCCCUGCCACACACACAAAAGAGCAGGAUGGAGCAACAGAUUUCUCUUCUUUGUCUCUUGUAUAAUAUUUAUUUGAAGUGCUGUGGAUUGAAACCAGGACCUAGGGCAUUUUGGGUAAACACUGAAACACUAAACUAAAUACCUCACCCCAAUAUCUUUAUUUUUUUUAAUUUAUCCUUUGUUAAUGUUUGAAUAUGGUUAAACAUUUCAUUUAACCUAAGAGAUAGCUAGAUAUUAUAAAUAUGAGGAAAAAAGUAUACUUCACAAAACUUAAAUGAUUAAAAGUAAAUAUUGUUGGCUACUAUUUUUCUAAGCUUUUGUAUAUGUGCAUGUGUGUGUAUGUAUGAGAGACAGAGAGAGAAAGAGACAGACAGACAGAUGGACAGACAGACAGACAGAGCACAAAAAAACUUUACUUAACAUUUUUUUUCUAGCAAACACACUGAGAUCCCUAAUUCAGCUGUAGUUUGGGCCCAAAUCAAAAAAGCAGAGAGGAAGGUGGUGGGCGGCGGAUAGGAACAUCAAAGGCUGUGAAGGUGACUGUGGGUAAAGUGUUCGCCAUUCCAGUGUAGGACUGAAAUCUGGAACCUAUGUAAUAGCCAGGCAGAAACAGCAGCUGCCUACAAUGCCCAAGACAGGGUAAAAAGACAGGACCCCUGGGGCAAACUGGCUGGGUAGACUACCUGCGACUGGUGAGCUCCUAGUGAAGAAACUCUGUCUCAAUAAAUAAAGCAGGGGAGCAAUCAAGGUGGACACUGACAUCAACCUAGGACCCUCACAUGCACACACACGUACACACACCAUGCACACGCGCACACGAAAUCCAAUAAAAACUUUAAGAGUAAAGAUGUAGGGACUCUAUAGAGAUGCUGAUUCUCUGGUAUUUGUGUGUUCUGCCACUAUGUGUUUUGUUCAUAUCACACAUGAGUUUGUCUUCUUUUAUUAAACCAUUUCCUAACAUUAAGAUGCUGUCUUAGAUGUAGAGGAUACAAAUCCCUCUUGGAUUAGAACCUGCUUCCCCAUUUCUGACAGUCAGAUGUAUUGUUCAUCAUUCAUAUUCAUCCAUCUGCUGUAAGAAACUGUAACACAGGCACAAAGACAAGCAUCAGCAGGCCACCAGCCACAGGACUGUCAGUGAAGGUCAGCAGGCCACCAGCCACAGGACUGUCAGUGAAGGUCAGCAGGCCACCAGCCACAGGACUGCCAGUGAAGGUCAGCAGGCCACCAGCCACAGGACUGUCAGUGAAGGUCAGCAGGCCACCAGCCACAGGACUGUCAGUGAAGAAGGAGCACAGGCCACCAGCCACAGAACUGUCAGUGAAGGUCAGCAGGCCGCCAGCCACAGGACUGCCAGUGAAGGUCAGCAGGCCACCAGCCACAGGACUGUCAGUGAAGGUCAGCAGGCCACCAGCCACAGGACUGUCAGUGAAGAAGGAGCACAGGCCACCAGCCACAGGACUGUCAGUGAAGGUCAGCAGGCCACAACGCCCUGCAGAGCUCUGCCCUAUCUCCAGGAAGCACCUGGACUCAAAGGGCUGGCUUCCAUACUGAGUGCAGGAAGCCAGAAACCAGCCUAGUGCUGCCCAGUGUUUCACAGUUUUUAAAUAUUCAUCAAAGAUUGAAUUUCAUUAUAUUGUUUAUCUAUUAUAAUUUUAGCGGCAGUUUCAAGUAGCCCAGGCGGGCUUCCCACCUCUCUGAGGCCAAGGGUGAUCCUGUGUUCCAAUCCUGCUGCUUCCCUUUCCCCAGUGCUCGAGUCACAGGCAUGGACCACCUGCCCAGUUUUAUGAGGUGUUAGGGGUUGGACCUAGGACUUCAUGCAUGCUCUAGACAGGCAUCCUACCAGGCAACUACAUCAGCAUUUUUAUGAGAAUCCUAACAUACCAAUCUUUUAUUUGAAAUGCAUUUUUCAAUGACAACUAAUUCAAAAACUUGUUGGGAACCCAACAUGCGUCUUCCCGAUGGAGAACAAUCCACUCGGGACCAGUUUUAGCUUGGGGACGGCUCGUGUGAGAGUCUGGGACGAGCUGUCUCUAAGGUCUCUUUCUACUUAAACAGUUUUAUGAUUUUCAUUAAGCCAUGCUGAAGUUUAAAUCACAGCGGCACAAAUCCAAUUAAAAUCACAGCUGCAAAUGCCAGAACAAAGUCUCCAAGUCACAUGUACCUCGACAAAAACAGGUCCUCAGUGAAGCCAUUCAUCGUGUUCAAUAAAGUAGCUGGUAGCACAAGCUAGGAAGAUCGUUAAAUCUAAAUCAGGAAAUGGAUACAUUUAGUCCUGGGUAUAACUCUCUUGAGACUGGGGGAAAACAGGCGUGUGAUGUCGGUUCUGCCAUUAUCGACUGGGAGUUGCUUUCUUUUUCUGAAAUGGAAAGAUCAUGUGGGUGCUGGUGACACAUAAUCUCACAUCCCAGAGAGGAAAGUGCAAGCCCUUCCAGGACUUCACUGAGUCCUGUCAGAUCACAGUCCUAUGGCUUCCGCUGUGAUACCAUGCACAACUCUAACUGUGCUGUCUUCAGGUAUCUCAAAGCAUUCCCUGGGACCUAGCAAGAAAGUUCCAGAAAACAUGAACUCACAUCAAUCGUAUGAUUAUUCACUGUGUGACUUUUCUGAACUUACUUUUCAUGUAAAAAAACAGAAGUCAUAUGCAAAAGGCUGACAUAAAAAAG
rnacentral:lncRNA from 1 species